UAUUAUUAUGAUACAUGUCGUCCUACUGUCGUUGGUAAUGGUGGUGGUGAGGAAAUAAGUAAACUGAAGAGUAGAGAACGAGCGCGCGCGGCGUUCGCGACACGCGGAGGCGAAAAGAAAAACGAAACAGACACUCACGCGAAUAAAAAAACGCGAUCGGAUAGGUCGGGUUUUUUACGCGCGCGGCGACGGCGGCGGCAGCCAAAGAGAGAUUUGAAACGACGACGACGACGGCGUAGUUAAAACGAAAAAAUACUAAUAACACACACACAUGUAAAAACUGAUUUCGAGGCAAUACCUGGUAACAUGGUACAUACAAAAAAUAGCCACAUCAUUAAGCCAAUUAAAACACUGGUAUUUUAACACGAUGAUUAAGAGUAUCAUCCACACAAGAGUUACAGCUCAACUGGUAAAAUAUAUAACAUUACACGUGGUUCGACGUGUUAUCGUUAUCUCUUGUUAUCGCAUCCAGAAAUACAUAAAUCGCAAACUGUAGAUGUAUUAGUCCAACG